AGACGUAGGGGGCGAGCGCUGCUCGGAAUCACUGGGCGUAAAGCGCGCGCAGGCGGUCUUUUAAGUUGGAUGUGAAAGCCUACGGCUCAACCGUAGAACUGCAUCCAAAACUAUUAGACUAGAGUGUGGGAGAGGAAGAUGGAAUUAGUUGUGUAGGGGUAAAAUCCGUAGAGAUAACUAGGAAUACCAAAAGCGAAGGCAAUCUUCUGGAACACUACUGACGCUGAGGCGCGAAAGCGUGGGGAGCAAACAGGAUUAGAAACCCUUGUAGUCC
rnacentral:rRNA from 1 species